GAGGAAUAUUGGUCAAUGGACGGAAGUCUGAACCGGCCAAGUAGCGUGCAGGAUGACGGCCCUAUGGGUUGUAAACUGCUUUUGUAUGGGGAUAAAGUUAGGGACGUGUCCCUAUUUGCAGGUACCAUACGAAUAAGGACCGGCUAAUUCCGUGCCAGCAGCCGCGGUAAUACGGAAGGUCCAGGCGUUAUCCGGAUUUAUUGGGUUUAAAGGGAGCGUAGGCUGGAGAUUAAGUGUGUUGUGAAAUGUAGACGCUCAACGUCUGAAUUGCAGCGCAUACUGGUUUCCUUGAGUACGCACAACGUUGGCGGAAUUCGUCGUGUAGCGGUGAAAUGCUUAGAUAUGACGAAGAACUCCGAUUGCGAAGGCAGCUGACGGGAGCGCAACUGACGCUUAAGCUCGAAGGUGCGGGUAUCAAACAGGAUUAGAUACCCUGGUAGUCCGCACAGUAAACGAUGGAUGCCCGCUGUUGGUACCUGGUAUCAGCGGCUAAGCGAAAGCAUUAAGCAUCCCACCUGGGGAGUACGCCGGCAACGGUG
rnacentral:rRNA from 1 species